rnacentral:rRNA from 1 species
UACGAAGGGUGCAAGCGUUAAUCGGAAUUACUGGGCGUAAAGCGUGCGUAGGUGGUCUUUUAAGUCCGUUGUGAAAGCCCUGGGCUCAACCUGGGAAUGGCAGUGGAUACUGGAAGGCUGGAGUGCGAUAGAGGAGGGUGGAAUUCCCGGUGUAGCGGUGAAAUGCGUAGAGAUCGGGAGGAACAUCAGUGGCGAAGGCGGCAUCCUGGACCGACAUUGACGCUGAAAACCGAAAGCUAGGGGAGCAAACGGG